UACGAAGGGGGCGAGCGUUGUUCGGAAUUACUGGGCGUAAAGGGCGCGCAGGCGGCUCAGACAGUCAGAUGUGAAAGCCCCGGGCUUAACCUGGGAACUGCAUUUGAUACUACUGAGCUGAGUACGGAGGAGGAUAGUGGAAUUCCCAGUGUAGAGGUGAAAUUCGUAGAUAUUGGGAAGAACACCGGUGGGCGAAGGCGGCUAUCGUGGACCGUAACUGACGCUGAGGCGCGAAAGCGAGGGGAGCAAACAGG
rnacentral:rRNA from 1 species